rnacentral:tRNA from 1 species
UCAAAAGAGGAGAGAUUCAAACCUCCAUCCCCAGUCCCCAAAACCGGAAUUUUUACUAAACUAUCUUCUG